AAAAGCUAGUAGUACCUUGUUACAUAGUUAGUACGUGCUAUGCACCGGUUUACUGGUUUCUAGUGUAGUGAUGUAACCUUCAAGAUCCUGUGGAACGUAUCUUAAAACCGACCUUAUGUAAUAAAGCUACUAAGGUGCAAAGCCCUGCGCUAAAUUAGUUUAUGGCCAAUAUCAGGCAACCUAGCAUGUGGCAGAAGGCCUGUAGCAUAUCUAGGUUAUAGAACUACAAAGGAAUUUCCUUUUGGAAUUAGCGGAGUUAACAUUAAAUUACAACUACCACACGGCCAUCGUGAUAUAAGUGUGCGGCCGAAGGCGCGAAUGAACGGCCUACAAGUCGACGCCCUUGGCCUCAACGAACUUAACGGCGAAGAUUUUUUUUACGUCUCCGUUAAGUUAAAUGCGUUCAGCAUGCGUGCUGCGCACCCAGUUUCAACUAACGCUCAACGAGCUUAAGCUAAUACAGCGCAAUUGCUUACGCGCAAUUGCUUACGCGCAAGUGCUGGUCUGACCCCCUCAACGAGCUAAGUGCAUAUUAAUAACGGAGUCCGAGUUACGCCACAACGUCCACUUCUUUGUUAGCUGUCAAGAAGGGGAAACCAAACUAAGCGUUAGCGUCAACUACGUUUACUCCUAAUGCGUAGCCCUCCUAAUAGUUAAUUUUGUUAACUUUAGCCAAACUUUAUAGUAUAAAUUGGCUUUCAAUAAAGUUUAAUGUCUAAAAAAUAAAACUUAACACUUAAAUAUAUUAAGUAUAANAAUUUUUUAACUUUUUUACGAAAAUAAUAAUUUUAUUAUAACAAAAUUAAAUAUAUAUUAUCUGACGUAAGCUAUAACUACUACGUUUUUCUUUUAUNN
rnacentral:lncRNA from 1 species